GACGGAGGAUGCAAGCGUUAUCCGGAAUGAUUGGGCGUAAAGCGUCCGCAGGUGGCAGUUCAAGUCUGCUGUCAAAGACCGGGGCUCAACUUCGGAAAGGCAGUGGAAACUGAACAGCUAGAGUAUGGUAGGGGCAAAGGGAAUUCCUGGUGUAGCGGUGAAAUGCGUAGAGAUCAGGAAGAACAUCGGUGGCGAAGGCGCUUUGCUGGACCAUAACUGACACUCAGGGACGAAAGCUAGGGGAGCGAAUGGG
rnacentral:rRNA from 1 species